rnacentral:rRNA from 1 species
CCUACGGGGGGCAGCAGUGGGGAAUAUUGCACAAUGGGGGAAACCCUGAUGUAGCAACGCCGCGUGAAGGAAGACGGUUUUCGGAUUGUAAACUUCUGUUCUUAGUGAAGAAUAAUGACGGUAGCUAAGGAGCAAGCCACGGCUAACUACGUGCCAGCAGCCGCGGUAAUACGUAGGUGGCAAGCGUUGUCCGGAAUUACUGGGUGUAAAGGGAGCGCAGGCGGGAAGCCAAGUCAGCUGUGAAAACUACGGGCUUAACUUGUAGACUGCAGUUGAAACUGGUUUUCUUGAGUGAAGUAGAGGUUGGCGGAAUUCCGAGUGUAGCGGUGAAAUGCGUAGAUAUUCGGAGGAACACCGGUGGCGAAGGCGGCGUGCCGUGCCGCCACUGACGCUGAGGCACGAAAGCGCGGGGAUCGAACAGGAUUAGAUACCCGAGUAGUC